ensembl:lncRNA
UUGAGUUUUUAAGUUUAUUUGAGUGUGCAGGAUGAGACAGAGGAUGAGAUGGUUGGAUGGCAUCACCGACUCAAUGGACAUGAGUUUGGGUAAACUCCGGGAGUUGGCGACGGACAGGGAGCCUGGCGUGCUGCACUACAUGGGGUCGCAAAGAGUUGGACAUGACUGAGCGACAGAAUUGAACUGGACUGAGUGUGCAGGGACCUAGCACCCCCUGCUGGUCACCCACAGGUAGAGCCACAGGAUGGGUCUGGCUCUAACCACCAGCCUCUCCUCACCAGAGUAGUAUCUACUCUGAUGACUAUCUUACUUCCCCUCCUCUUACCCCCAGGGACUGGGUUUCUCUUUUUUUUCAGGUUACUCGCAUCUGACAUGGCCUGGCCACUUCCUCAGAGGCUCGUAGCGGCUUUGCUGCUCCUGUGUCUGCUCUAGGUCAGUCUUCCCAGCUCAGCAGAGCCAGGCCUGUCUCCAUGAAGAACCCGAGCCUGGAGCGGAGGAGACUCAUUGGUGUCAGCAGCAGUGCCAGGAGGCAACCCUCGGUCUCUCAGUUUUCCACAGAUCUAGAUACCCGUGGGCUGCUUGGAGUCUCCAUGAGUCUGCAUCAAGUUCUGUCUACUGUUCUUCCUCCACCAAGAAGUCUUCCCUGAUUGAGCCCUUGACAUCUGGUGGCUGUCUCUUUCUCUGCCCAGUCCUGACACUGAGUAGCUCCUUAGUCUCAUUUCCCUAACUGUCUCCUGUAAUGGGCUGGAUUGUGUCUCUCCCACCUUGCAAUUCAUAUGUUGAAGUCUCAAGUCCUCGGUACUGCAGAAUGUGAUUAGAUUUGGAGACAGGGUCGUUAAGAGGUGGUUAAGGCAAAAUGAGGUCAUGUGGGUGUCCUUAAUCCAAUAUGACUGGUGUCCUUGUAAGAAGAGACUAGGACAGGGACAUUCACAGAAGGAAGACCACGUGGAGACACAGGGAGGAAACAGUCACCUAUCAGUCAAGGAAAUAGGACUUAGAAGAAACCAAACCAGCUGACACCUUAAUCUUGGACUUCUAGCUUCCACAACUGUGACAUAAAGAAUUUCUGCUCUUGGGCUUCCCUGGUGGUCCAGUGGCUAGGAAUCCACCUGUCAGUGCAGGGUACAUGGGUUUGAUUCCUGGUCUGGAAAGAUUCCACAUGCCAAAAAGCAAUUAAGCCUGUGUGCCACGACUGUGAACCUGCAUUUUAGAGCCUCGGAGCCGCAACCCCUGAGCCCACACACCUAGACCUUGUGUUCUGCAGCAAGAGAAGCGACAGCAAUGAGAAGCCCUGCAGCAAAGAGUAGUCCCUGCUUGAUGCAACUAGAGGAAGCCCGUGCACA